GAUGAACGCUAGCAGCAGGCCUAACACAUGCAAGUCGAGGGAGAGGUUACCUUCGGGUAACCAAAACCGGCGCACGGGUGCGUAACGCGUAUACAAUCUGCCUUUCACAUAGGGAUAGCCCGAAGAAAUUUGGAUUAAUACCUAAUGGUAUAUAAGAGCGGCAUCGUUUUUAUAUUAAAGCUACGGUGGUGAAAGAUGAGUAUGCGUUCUAUUAGCUAGUUGGAGAGGUAACGGCUCCCCAAGGCGACGAUAGAUAGGGGUUCUGAGAGGGAUGUCCCCCACACUGGUACUGAGAUACGGACCAGACUCCUACGGGAGGCAGCAGUGAGGAAUAUUGGACAAUGGUCGGAAGACUGAUCCAGCCAUGCCGCGUGCAGGAUGAAGGUCCUAUGGAUUGUAAACUGCUUUUGUAAGGGAAGAAUAAGGAGUACGUGUACUUUGAUGACGGUACCUUACGAAUAAGCAUCGGCUAACUCCGUG
rnacentral:rRNA from 1 species